ensembl:processed_transcript
AGUGGCAGCAGUCACAAGCUUGUCAUCAGACCCAACUCUUCUGAAGAACCUUUGGAAUACCUGUAACCUUCAAUAACCUGUUUUUUUUCUCCAUUACAAUGAGAAGGAGCCUAUUGAUUGAUUUCAAAGAUAAGGAAAGGAUUAAAGCGGUGAUGUCACUCUCCUAGUCUGUUUCGACUUUCACUGCACCAUGAAAAGUCCCGAAUGGUUUCAUCAGCUUUGCACAGAAGAAUUGACCCAGAGGAAACUGUUUCAACUUUUUAGACAACCCAGAGGAUGAAUGUAGAAGAAAUUUGUCUGAGAAUGACUGAAGAACAACUGGAAGAAAAAGAAGAAAGGCUGAUACGGUGCACGGAGAGAACGGUGAUGGCUUCGCAGUGGCUUCGUGGUUCUCGGCUUUGAGAAGAAAGUCAGCUCUGUGAAGCCAGCCACUAAGCAGCCUCGAAGGGCCCUUUCAUUUCUUUAGCUCUCCAUGAGUACAGAUAACGCAGUGCAUGAAUCAGAAUCAGCAAACAUACUUUAAAGUAACCAAUUUUCUCUGAGAGCUGACCUAACAUAAGCAUCCCAGCUAUCAUCGAGAGGUUCCGGAGCUGUUAUCACCAGCAGCUAGUUUCAAUUUAACUAAAUUAUUAAGAUAAAUUAUACUUAUGCCAAUGCGCUGGGCUCUGCUGCAGAGGCUGAGGGCAACCCCAUGCAAGCCUUCCCUUGAACUCUGUUAUCCUUAAACUGUCUGCCUUGGGGCUCCCCAACUCUCACAACCUCUCAUUCAGAGAGUGCAGUUACCAAAAGAUCACUCAUGCCUUGGUCGGGGGCAAUGGUGGAUAACUUCUCAUGUUUUGGGGGGAGAGCCCCUCUUGAGAAACCCUUUACCAAUUUUCAAUUUUCUUCAGCAAUUAAAGUGCGUUCCUCAAG